rnacentral:rRNA from 1 species
CCUGGUUGAUCCUGCCAGUAGUCAUAUGCUUGUCUCAAAGAUUAAGCCAUGCAUGUGUAAGUAUGAACUAUUUCAGAUCGUGGAAACUGCGAAUGGCUCAUUAAAUCAGUUAUAGUUUGUUUGAUGGUACGUGCUACUGGGAUAACCGUAGUAAUUCUAGAGCUAAUAUGUGCAACAAACCCCACUUCCUAAGGGAUGCAUUUAUUAGAUAAAAGGCUGACGUGGGCUUUGCCCACGCUCCGAUGAUUCAUGAUAACUUCGGCGGAUCGACGACCCAUGUGUCGGCGACGCAUCAUUCAAAUUUCUGCCCUAUCAACUUUUCGAUGGUAGGAUAGGGGCCUACCAUGGUGGUGACGAGUGACGGAGAAUUAGGGUUCGAUUCCAGAGGGAGCACGAGAAACGGCUACCACCUCCAAGGAAGGCAAGAGGCGCGCAAAUUACCCAAUCGACACGGGGAGGUAGUGACAAUAAAUAACAAUACCGGGCUCUUCGAGUCCGGUAAUUGGAAUGAGUACAAUCUAAAUCCCUUUAACGAGGAUCCAUUGGAGGGCAAGUCCGGUGCCGGCGGUACCCAUGGUAAUUCCAGCUCCAAUAGCGUAUAUUUAAGUUGUUGCAGUUAAAAGCUCGUAGUUGGACUUUGGGAUCGGGUCGGUUGGUCCGCCUCGCGGUGUGCAAUGGGUCGUCCCAUCCCUUCACGUCGGCGAUCGUGCACUGGCCUUAACUAGCCGGGUCGUGCCUCCUACCUGCACUUUUGAAGAAAUUAGAGUGCUUUGAAAGCAAGCCCACGCCUGGAUACAUUAGCAUGGGAUAACAUCACAGGAUUUCGGUCCUAUUGUGUUGGCCUUCGGAUCGGAGUAAUGAUUAAGCGGGACAGUCGGGGGCAUUCGUAUUUCAUAGUCGAGGUGAAAUUCUUGGAUUUAUGAAAGACGAACCACCAUACGAAAGCAUUUGCCAAGGAUGUUUUCAUUAAUCAAGAACGAAAGUUGGGGGCUCGGUCGGCUUUCUCCCACGAAAGGGGCUUACGACACCAGAGGCGUCGGAUCUCCCAAGGACGACGAUGCUCAGAAGGGCGGGCGAUGACACUCAGUAGCAGCGACCAGAUCUUGGGCGAUGGUACAGUAAGCGGCACCAGAUCUAGGGCUUACGACACGGGUAGCGGUGACCAGAUCUCCGUGAGCAUCCGCUUCUCCCAAGGGCGACGAUCAUUGUAGCAAAGAACCAGAAAUCCCUAGGGCUUACGGUGAUCAGAAGCGGCGAUCUAAUACUGCAGCGGUGGCUUUUUCCAAUGGCGCCGUUUCUGUAGCGGCGACCAGAGGGAUCAAACAUGGCAGCGAUGGCCCCUAGGGCUGGCGAUGGUGGCGAGGGGUUGAAACGAUGGCAAGGCUCCCUACCGCUACCCCCCCCAAGUUGCUCUUCCACCAUAUCCUUUCCAAAGAGAAACUCCUUCACCAAGCGCAGCAUCGAAGCAGGUCGCGCUCUAGAUCGCGGCAGCCUGCUCUCAUUUCCAGCGAUCCUCGGCCUUGGACUAGCCUCUUCAAGGCUCGGUUGGAAGUCCAGAUCUAAGCUUGGAAUUCUUUACUCCAAGUUCAGGUGAUAAGAAGAUCUCAGAUACAAGACUAGCGAUUUAGCGAGCU